GGGAAAACCGUGGCCGGGGCUUGCGGGGCCUAUGGAUCUACGCCCGGCGGCGCGUGGCAGCGGUUUCUAAUCCCGCGCUGCAGCCUCGGGCUUCGGCGCGCCGCCGGGCUCCCGCUCGCGCCCCCUGCGGCCGGCGCGCGGGCUCGAGCGUCUGGCUCGCUGGAGGAACCCGCACGGACGCUGCUCCGCCCUGUGAGGCCUCGACCAAAAUGGCCUGUAAGUGUGGCUGCCUCCGAGCACGACGACCCUACCCCAGCCCAACUUCCAUACCUCAGGACCACCUCCAAAGUGACAGCCCUUCCCUGGGAGCCUAUUAAACACCGAACGUGCCGCAUAUUCCACAAUAAUACAGUUCCAUCGCCGCUGGUAAAAAAUAGAAAUGGCUUCAGUGGAUAGAUUCGGUGGACGGUCCUCUGCUAAUAUUGCAGGAUAGCUUUUGAGGACAUGGAAGCAACCUAAGUGUCCAUCGACAGAUGAAUGGAUAAAGAAGAUGUGGCACAUAUAUACAAUGGAAUAUUGCUCAGCCAUAAAAAGAAAUGAAAUUGAGUUAUUUGUAAUGACGUGGAUGGACCUAAAGUCUGUCAUACAGAGUGAGAUGUUAAGUGAUGGUCUCGUUGGACAGUUUUGGUGGUUCCACCGAGAUUGAAGACCCUCAUUUGGCAGCAUUCCAGGGAAGCCUGAGGCCAACAGGUGACUGAGAAUCUUCCAGAAGUAAUGAUGCAUGGAGAUUGGUGUGUUUGGAGCCAAAUCUAUCCAAAGAUGCAUUUUUGGAUGAAAAGUAGAGAUGAGGAAAGAAAGCGCAGAGAAAUGACAAGACUUCCUCAAAUCGACGUAACAUGCUAUCAGUCUAGGUCUGAAUCCUGUGCCCCAUCAGUAUCCAAGAAGAUGCUUUGGGAUUUUAAUUGGAUAUUAAUUAAUAAUUUGGAUUGGAAGUGUUCUCUUAUCAAGACAGAGAAGGCAAGACUGAAUUAGAAUACAGAUAUGAUGGUUGGAGAUCCAGCAGCUAUCUUGGCUAAUGAGGCAGCUUUGAGAAUGGGAGCCUUUUGCUAAGGAAGGUAGAACACAAAGAUAGAAGACAACCAGGUUACUGAUGACUAUGGAGGCUCCAUAUCAGCCUUGGAUUGCCUGUCUUGGGACUUCUAUGGGUGAGAAAAAUUCAGAUCAAUAUCCCUGAGGGAAGGGAGGAAUAGGCGACGUUCAAGAAAUAGCUGAAGGCGGGUUGCCUGAUGUGGAGGCAAGGACCCAGUGUCGGUCCCGGGGCUGUGCAUGGCGGGGAAGGUGCAUCUCCGCAGCAUCGAGGCAAGUCUUCCAGACCUGUCUGCAGCUCUUCCUGUAACCAAGAGGCCUUUUCCUGUGUUUGAACUCACCACCAAUGUCUGUCCUACCAAAGCUCCUUUGUGCAGGCCGCCUUCUGUUCACCGACAGCUGCUUGGAACGUCAGUCAGAGCAGCUCAUCUGCCAAGCUGUGCGCCUCUGGUCACAUCGCUCUGAGGCCUCCUGUUUGUCAGCUUCAAAGUGCCUCACAAGUGGUGACUUGCCUCAUUCCGGGUGAAUGUUAAAAGAAGAGGAAGACUGGACAUACUCAUGACACCACUGGAAUUAAGGCUGGAAGCUUCUAUCUCAUUUUGCAGAAGAAGCAAUCAGGACCAAAGAAGAGCGGUUGAAAACCACUGCAGGGCCUUGUGGCCAGAUCUUAGGGUGCUUGGAGAGAGCCUGUAAGUAGAAGAAAAGGCCUUUAUGACCACUCUGGAGGAAGACUGUGGAAAAAUGAGCCCUACUGAAUAAUGGAAGUGAGUACUGGAGGAGGAUGCUUGCUCACCUCUGGCCUGACAAGAAACCCACAGGUGCUUUUUAAUACAACUACUGCCAUUCCCCAACUUAAAAAUCCUCAUUUGCUUCUAUCAGAUAUUUGGAGCUCAGAAUGCAUUUUCCUGUAGAAACCAUGUGUUCCUUGGUGAUUAAGUCCACAGGCCAGUUCUUAAGAUUUAGUCCUGUAACUAAAUCAUAACCCUAUCCAUCUACCACAUUUAACAGACUUUCCUUAGAGAAUUUCAGCCCAGGUCCUAACAUGGAAUACCUAGAGUACAUUUUCCCCAACCCUACUAGUUCAAACCCUGAGUUCCGCUCUAUCCCUCAGACUCAUCCCUCCUGGGCCAGCUUUGAGAACGCUACCAGCUUUUCAGGAGCAGCAUGGGUGUGUGCUGGAGAAAAGGGAGCUCUGUUGGGUGAAUAUUAAGAAACGCAGGCACAGGAUACGCGUGAGGACAGUGACAGUAAGGCAAGCCGACCAAGAGGCUAGGGUGGAGCAAAGGCGGGUAGGUACUCAGGUUUGGAAUCUCUGGAGAUUGGGGGUGGGGGUGGGUACAUGGUAGAAGGUGCUGCUCAAAAGUGUGAAUCUUUCAUGAACCAGCUGUUUGCGUGCCAGGCACUGCCUAUAUUCACUCUCCAGUAAACCCUUGCCACACAGUGUAUGAGGGUGGCGCUCAGACUUCACCACCCACGACCUCUCUAGGCACCAACACGUCCACGUGCAGCUCCUGACGGCCCUUCUCGACACAACCAGAUUUAGGCUAGACUUUACAACUCUUCAUCUGCUUCCACUCUUGCCCCUCCACAAGCCAUUCUUUGCACAGUGACCAACACAGGCUUUCUGAAAUGCAAAUCUGAUCAUGUCCUUCUUCUGUGUAAAAUCUUUAAUGAUUUCCCAACCAUCUUAGGAUCAAGUUCAGAAUCUGAACUCGGACCCCCCAGCUGCCCGUUGCAGGAGCUGCUGCCUCCCCUCCUUGCCUGACACAUGCCUGCUUAUUCUGCAGGUCUCAGUUUAUGUUUCGUUUUCUUAAGAAGACUUUCCCUGACCUUUUGUACAGAUUUGGUACCUGACUACACGCUCUCCUAACUCUUAGGUUUCCUUCUCAGAGAAGUGACUGCAAUUGUAAUUGUUCAGAUACCCAAGCAUGAUUUAUUUAAUUGAAAGUGUCUCUCUCUGCCAGGAAGUAAAAUUCAUAAGUGCAUUGCCCACUCCUAGCGUGGAGCCGUCUGGUCCAUAAGACAUGCUCACUAAAUGGUUGCAGAAUGCGCCUCUGUGCUGUACAUUUUUACCUUUUAUAUUAUACAACAUGUUCUCCAAUUCUAGGGGACCAGUUUUUACUGUGUGACAGGCAGUGUUUGUUAGCUUUUGGUUGAAAUAGAGCUCUGAGCCAGAAUUCCCUGGGUUCGGAAUCUUACUAACUGUGUGAUACUGGGAAGUAGUGUAACGUCUCCAUGCUUCAGUUUCCUCAUCUAUUAAAAAAGAGGAGGAGAUAAAGGGCAACAAGAGCACCUACUUCAGAGGACUGUUGUGACAUGUAGUAUGUUUAGAACAAUGCCUCACACAUGGUAAGUGUAUGAAAGAUUUGAGCCCCUCUUCUUCUUUACUCCUAAGAAUAUGAAAAAUAGGUGUUAUGUUAUUAUCCCCACUUGUCAGAUGAGGAAACUAGAUGCAUAAAACAGGCUUUCUUUAGUAACUUGUUUAUAAUCCUUCAUAUCAUUUUUUCAUGCU
rnacentral:lncRNA from 1 species